rnacentral:rRNA from 1 species
UUUGAUCCUGGCUCAGAGCGAACGCUGGCGGCAGGCCUAACACAUGCAAGUCGAACGAACUCUUCGGAGUUAGUKGCGGACGGGUGAGUAACHCGUGGGAACGUGCCUUUAGGUUCGGAAUAACUCAGGGAAACUUGUGCUAAUACCGAAUGUGCUUCGGGGGAAAGAUUUAUCGCCUUUAGAGCGGCCCGCGUCUGAUUAGCUAGUUGGUGAGGUAAAGGCUCACCAAGGCGACGAUCAGUAGCUGGUCUGAGAGGAUGAUCAGCCACAUUGGGACUGAGACACGGCCCAAACUCUACGGGAGGCAGCAGUGGGGAAUCUUGCGCAAUGGGCGAAAGCCUGACGCAGCCAUGCCGCGUGAAUGAUGAAGGUCUUAGGAUUGUAAAAUUCUUUCAGUAGGGACGAUAAUGACGGUACCUACAGAAGAAGCCCCGGCUAACUUCGUGCCAGCAGCCGCGGUAAUACGAAGGGGGCUAGCGUUGCUCGGAAUUACUGGGCGUAAAGGGAGCGUAGGCGGACAUUUAAGUCAGGGGUGAAAUCCCGGGGCUCAACCUCGGAAUUGCCUUUGAUACUGGGUGUCUUGAGUAUGAGAGAGGUAUGUGGAACUCCGAGUGUAGAGGUGAAAUUCGUAGAUAUUCGGAAGAACACCAGUGGCGAAGGCGACAUACUGGCUCAUUACUGACGCUGAGGCUCGAAAGCGUGGGAGCAAACAGGAUUAGAUABCCUGGUAGUCCACGCCGUAAACGAUGAUUGCUAGUUGUCGGGAUGCAUGCAUUUCGGUGA